UGCCUUUAUGUGUUGCCAAUUCAUUUAUUUUGUAGUGGAUUGGGUGUCAACUAAGGCAUACAGUAUUAUCUUGCAGUUAUCUUAUUGAUAGAUUUUAUCAUUAAUUCUGUCAGAAUAAUUGCAAGGACAUAAUG
ensembl:snoRNA small nucleolar RNA SNORA13